AUGAGGACCCUCUGCUGACAACACCCGGCUGCUGUGAGACACACCGUUCCCAAAAUGAGCAGGAUGGGAGCCGGGAAAAAACGAAACCAUACAGCACAGGGGAUGCUCUCUGCACUGAGAAUUACCUCUGCUCAUCUAACAACCUUUUCCCCAUUACAAGAGGAGGAUUUCUGGCAGGUCUUCGGUGUUGCUGCUUUCCCAGGUGUGUUGCAGGCGUUAAUGCUGCCCGGGGCGGGCGGCCCGCACGUGGCGCUGGGCUGGACCCGCUUGCUCACGGCUGGGCACGGCAUUAACCACCGGUUUCACAAUGAGGAGAGGCCUUGGCAGCAGAACUGGUGACUGGAAGUGACUCAGGACUGGAGAUGGGGCGAGAGGAGCGGUUUCUGGUCAGGGCAGCCCGGCAUUGCCUGCAGAGGAAGCCGUGGUGACCUUGCAGUGAAACACAGGGCUGGGGUUUGGACCGCCCACUGGCUGGGACAGCACUGGCAUCAACAGGACUUGUCUCCAAAUGCAAACCCGCCUGUGGAAAUACAGCCUUGCAAAUAAAUAUGGUCUGGUACUCAGCAAUCGAAGAACGUAACGUGCCACUAACCACCAGCUUUAUAUACCUCUGGAAGAUUAUUGAACGUUUUCCUCCAGCAACUCAAAGCAUUUGCUCCCUGCAGUGCCUGCUGUGUCUGCUCAGCUCCAGCCCAACAAAGCCAGUGAGGCCGAGCUCACCCUGACCUCCAGCCCAAGCUGCAACUCAUCAUGCGCCAAGGGGAGCCCCUUAGGCCAGGCUCUGGGCGUAGCUCAAAGAUCCGGAGCCAGGUGCAGCAUGUCCAUGAUCUUAAGGGUCUCUUCCCACCAAAAUGAUUCUAUGAUUCUACCAUGGGCCAAACUGCAGAGGAGUAAACCACGUGCAAUACCUGCUGCUGUGUUCGUGCUGCAGCACGGUGCAGUGAGGAGUGCUCGGGCAUUUGUGCCAGUGUAUGCACCGUGAAUUCAUUAGCCUCUGGGAAUCUGCUUGUGAGAUGAAUUUAGCUCUCUAAUAAUUCACCUUUUCAUAGGUAGCUGCCUCACACUGCGUGCGUGGCCAGCGGUACACUCGAUUUGCCCAUGUGUGUUAACAGGUCACCCAGAGAUCCCAGUUUCCCCAGCACAGCACUUGCUGGGUGACUGGGGAGCUCUUCCCCUGGAGCAUUCCACCAAACUUUGUCCCCCCAAGAUGGGAGAUCAUCCCCGGGGAGAUAAACCACAGCCCUUUCGACCCCUGUUCCAGCAAGGGGCUGUCGCUGUCCUUGCUGAGCCACAUCUGCACCAGCUGUGGUUUGGUGACAGAUCCGUGCACAGCGGGAACCCUUCCCGGCUGACAGGGAGCGGUACGAGCCAUGUCCUGCACUGGCCGUUCCCUGCGAACCCUGAACGUCCCUGUGCCUGGAGCUGCCGUUUGGUUUAUUUUAGGGAUGGCAAUGACUAACAUGUUGGUAUCGCCUUUCAGAACUCUUAAAAAUAGAAGUUAAAAAGUUGCUUCGCAUAAUCCCUACAACGUAACACCUUCCUGGUGGAAAGGAAGAGACCAGCCACAGCAGCAACAGGACAUGAGUGUUUUCGAAAUUAGCUCUGAUCCAGAGAGAAGUGUGAUUACGAGUUAUUCAUAUGGAGCCUUUUUCCUUCACAGACUGCACAAAAAGUGGAUCAACAGAGUGAGUGCUGUUUCACAGGGCUAGAAGAGGAUCCAGAUCACUGGAUCCUUCAGUUGAUUUAUCUUACUCAAUUACAGCUUCCUUGCCUUGUAGUAGAUGUAUGAUCAGUAAAAGAUAAUUCUGUCAAGGUAUUAAAAGCAAUUAGACGUA